CCCUUAGAUGUUCUGGGCCGCACGCGUGCUACACUGAGUGGAUCAGCGGGUCAGGUUGCGCGAAAGUGUUUCCUAAUCUUUAAAUCCGCUCGUGAUGGGGAUUGACGGUUGCAAUUUUCCGUCAUGAACGAGGAAUACCUUGUAAGCGCGGGUCAUCAUCCCGCGCUGAAUACGUCCCUGCCCUUUGUACACACCGCCCGUCGCUCCUACCGAUUGAGUGGUCCGGUGAGGCUUUGGGAUCUGAGUGGAAAGAGCGUUUCGCUGUUUCUGCUCGGAAAACUCAGUCGAACCUUAUCAUUUAGAGGAAGGAGAAGUCGUAACA
rnacentral:rRNA from 1 species